rfam:Cryptococcus bestiolae CBS 10118 unplaced genomic scaffold supercont1.2, whole genome shotgun sequence.
GACCGUGUGGCCUAGUGGUUAGGGCGUCCCCUUUACAGCUUUUCUAAUCUCGGAGGGAGCUAACGGGGAAGAUCGAGGGUUCAAUCCCCUCCGUGGUCA